ensembl:lncRNA novel transcript
CGCCCGGCCCAUUACCUCUUCUUCUUGUCUCUCUUGUCCAAGCCAGGGUCCCUGAGCAUGAGAAUGAGCUCCACUCUGGGGACUAUGCCCCUCCAGGCAGCUCUGUGGAGAUCGCCAAGAUCUUCCAGGCAGACGUCGUACCCAGGCUCCAGGAAGGCGCUGUCAUUGUGCUCGGCUCCACAGCCCACGCCGUCCUCGCUGCUCCUCCUUAUUCAAUUAUUAAAACUAGUGAAUAAAUUCAGCAAAGUUACAGCACAAAAUGUCAACACAUGGUGCAGGCUAUGAAGAUGGGAAAAGGCCGUUGAUCACUCUGGCUUCUUCCUGCUGACAGCGGACAUAGUGGGAAUGGGAGUGAACCCCAAGGUGAGAGAGUGGAACCACUUUGCAACUGUCUGAGCGUACUCAUGCAGCCCUGGCUUUUCAGUAGGCCUACACAGAAAAUGUGAGACUGAAAACCCCUGCAUCCUUGAGCUCAUGGACGAUGUGCUCUAUGAGGCAGUAGAGGAGCUCCGCCUGGUACUCGACACUCCACAAAGCAACUCUCCCUUUGGGGCUGCAGUUGGUGAACAAAAAGAAACUCUCAAGGAUCCAAGAUGAUGCU